GGCGUUCUGGAGCAGGACCAAAAAGACCACGACCAAGCAGCCUUGAGAUCUUAGGCAGCGUCUCCCUCAGACCAAAGAACAACAGACUCUUCACAACCUGCUCAAACUCUUGGUACAGGACCUCACCACACGGAUCAAGAAGGUUUCCGUCUCAUUUCUACUCUGAAGCUCACCUUCUCCUGCUCAAACUGCUGACAAAUGUUUCUGCUGCUCUAAAGUCUGGUCUCCAGAACUUCCUAAAAACUCUCAAAGGCUC
ensembl:lncRNA